GAUGAACGCUAGCGGCAGGCUUAACACAUGCAAGUCGAGGGGUAUAGUUCUUCGGAAUUAGAGACCGGCGCACGGGUGCGUAACGCGUAUGCAAUCUACCUUUCACAGAGGGAUAGCCCCAGAGAAAUUUGGAUUAAUACCUCAUAGUAUAGCAGUUUCGCAUGAAACCACUAUUAAAGUCACAACGGUGAAAGAUGAGCAUGCGUCCCAUUAGCUAGUUGGUAAGGUAACGGCUUACCAAGGUAACGAUGGGUAGGGUCCUGAGAGGGAGA
rnacentral:rRNA from 1 species